UCCCGUCGGGGUUCCAGUAGAUGAUG
rnacentral:sRNA from 1 species